rnacentral:rRNA from 1 species
CAAUAGCGUAUAUUAAAGUUGUUGCAGUUAAAAAGCUCGUAGUUGAAUUUUUGCUUGCCGCUGAUGUCGGAACUUCCGUACGUUCGGCGGCGUGCAUCCUUGGGUGGAACCUGUGUGGCAUUAGGUUGUCGUGCAGGGGAUGCUCAUCGUUUACUGUGAAAAAAUUAGAGUGUUCAAAGCAGGCUUAUGCCGUUGAAUAUAUUAGCAUGGAAUAAUAAGAUAGGACCUUGGUACUAUUUUGUUGGUUUGCGCACCGAGGUAAUGAUUAACAGGGACAGUUGGGGGUAUUCGUAUUCCAUUGUCAGAGGUGAAAUUCUUGGAUUUAUGGAAGAUGAACUUAUGCGAAAGCAUUUACCAAGGAUGUUUUCAUUAA